GAACGCCCGCUCGCAAGAGCAUGGAGUGGCGGACGGGUGAGUACACGUGGGUACUACCUUUCGGUGAGGAAUACCUUGCGAGAAAUCGCCGACAAGACCGCAUAUGCUCUCUCGCAAGGGGGAGCAAAGUCGCAAGACGCCGGGAGAUGGGCCUGCGCCCGAUUAGCUAGCUGGUGGGGUAAAAGCCUACCAUUGCGACGAUCGGUAGCUGGUCUGAUAGGAUGAUCAUCCACACUGGGAUUGAUAACGGUCCAUACUCCUACGGGGGGCAGCAGUGAGGAAUUUUCGUCAAUGGGGGAAACCCUGAACGAGCAACGCCGUGUGCAGGAAGACGGCCUUCGGGUUGUAAACUGCUUUUCUGUGGGACGAGAAUGGACUGUACCACAGGAAGAAGCCCCGGCUAACUACGUGCCAUCAGCCGCGGUAAU
rnacentral:rRNA from 1 species